CCGGAGAAUGUUAUCACGGGAGACACACGGCGGGUGCUAACGUCCGUCGUGAAGAGGGAAACAACCCAGACCGCCAGCUAAGGUCCCAAAGUCAUGGUUAAGUGGGAAACGAUGUGGGAAGGCCCAGACAGCCAGGAUGUUGGCUUAGAAGCAGCCAUCAUUUAAAGAAAGCGUAAUAGCUCACUGGUCGAGUCGGCCUGCGCGGAAGAUGUAACGGGGCUAAACCAUGCACCGAAGCUGCGGCAGCGACGCUUAUGCGUUGUUGGGUAGGGGAGCGUUCUGUAAGCCUGCGAAGGUGUGCUGUGAGGCAUGCUGGAGGUAUCAGAAGUGCGAAUGCUGACAUAAGUAACGAUAAAGCGGGUGAAAAGCCCGCUCGCCGGAAGACCAAGGGUUCCUGUCCAACGUUAAUCGGGGCAGGGUGAGUCGACCCCUAAGGCGAGGCCGAAAGGCGUAGUCGAUGGGAAACAGGUUAAUAUUCCUGUACUUGGUGUUACUGCGAAGGGGGGACGGAGAAGGCUAUGUUGGCCGGGCGACGGUUGUCCCGGUUUAAGCGUGUAGGCUGGUUUUCCAGGCAAAUCCGGAAAAUCAAGGCUGAGGCGUGAUGACGAGGCACUACGGUGCUGAAGCAACAAAUGCCCUGCUUCCAGGAAAAGCCUCUAAGCAUCAGGUAACAUCAAAUCGUACCCCAAACCGACACAGGUGGUCAGGUAGAGAAUACCAAGGCGCUUGAGAGAACUCGGGUGAAGGAACUAGGCAAAAUGGUGCCGUAACUUCGGGAGAAGGCACGCUGAUAUGUAGGUGAAGUCCCUUGCGGAUGGAGCUGAAAUCAGUCGAAGAUACCAGCUGGCUGCAACUGUUUAUUAAAAACACAGCACUGUGCAAACACGAAAGUGGACGUAUACGGUGUGACGCCUGCCCGGUGCCGGAAGGUUAAUUGAUGGGGUCAGCGCAAGCGAAGCUCUUGAUCGAAGCCCCGGUAAACGGCGGCCGUAACUAUAACGGUCCUAAGGUAGCGAAAUUCCUUGUCGGGUAAGUUCCGACCUGCACGAAUGGCGUAAUGAUGGCCAGGCUGUCUCCACCCGAGACUCAGUGAAAUUGAACUCGCUGUGAAGAUGCAGUGUACCCGCGGCAAGACGGAAAGACCCCGUGAACCUUUACUAUAGCUUGACACUGAACAUUGAGCCUUGAUGUGUAGGAUAGGUGGGAGGCUUUGAAGUGUGGACGCCAGUCUGCAUGGAGCCGGCCUUGAAAUACCACCCUUUAAUGUUUGAUGUUCUAACGUGGACCCGUGAUCCGGGUUGCGGACAGUGUCUGGUGGGUAGUUUGACUGGGGCGGUCUCCUCCUAAAGAGUAACGGAGGAGCACGAAGGUUGGCUAAUCCUGGUCGGACAUCAGGAGGUUAGUGCAAUGGCAUAAGCCAGCUUGACUGCGAGCGUGACGGCGCGAGCAGGUGCGAAAGCAGGUCAUAGUGAUCCGGUGGUUCUGAAUGGAAGGGCCAUCGCUCAACGGAUAAAAGGUACUCCGGGGAUAACAGGCUGAUACCGCCCAAGAGUUCAUAUCGACGGCGGUGUUUGGCACCUCGAUGUCGGCUCAUCACAUCCUGGGGCUGAAGUAGGUCCCAAGGGUAUGGCUGUUCGCCAUUUAAAGUGGUACGCGAGCUGGGUUUAGAACGUCGUGAGACAGUUCGGUCCCUAUCUGCCGUGGGCGCUGGAGAACUGAGGGGG
rnacentral:rRNA from 1 species